rnacentral:SRP_RNA from 1 species
GCCGGGCAUGGUGGCGCAUGCCUGUAGUCUCAGCUACUUGGGAGGCUGAGGCACAAGAAUCGCUUGAACUCAGGAGGCAGGGGUUGCAGUGAGCCACGAUUGUGCCACUGCACUCCAGCCUGGGUGACAGAGGGAGACUCUGUCUCAA